GUAUUGUAUUGCGUUAAACGCGGCAUACAUUCCAUGAGACUUUAUUACAAUGUGUGUGUGUAAAUACAUAGGACCACAGCAGGGGGUUUAAAGCCCCCAGGGCUAUAGAACUAUGGAGGGUGCACAGGUGUGAGUGGAUGUGCGAACAGAGCGUGCACAUGCCCCCGUCUGAGGACCAGCAACAGCUCGUGUCGACGGUUCGGUAAUGAUCCUUCCGCAGGUUCACCUACGGAAA
rnacentral:misc_RNA from 1 species